AAAAGAAACUAAAUAGGAUUUCCAUAGUAACUGCGAGUGAACUGGAAUUAGCCCAUCACGAAAUCUAUAUUAUAAUAAUAAUAUCGAAAUGUCGUGUAUAGGUUUUAUUAUUAUUAAUAAAUUAUUAUUAAAUAAUUGUAUUUAAAUAUACAGCCACAGAAGGUGCCAGCCCUGUUAUUUAAUAAUAUUUAUUAAAUUUAUAAAACUUUAGAGUCGUGUUGCUUGGAAGUGCAGCACAAAGUUGGUGAUAAACAUCAUCUAAGGCUAAAUAUUCCUAUGAAUCCGAUAGCGAACAAGUACUGUGAAGGAAAAUUGCAAAGUACUCCGGAGAGAGAGUUAAAGAGGACGUGAAACCGAUACGAUGGAAGCAUACAGAGCCAGUUGCACUAUUAUUAAUAUUUUUUUAUUAAUAAUUUUAAGCAUGGGUAUAUUGAUUAUUAAUUAGUUAUUUAUUAAAGAGUGAUAAAAUUUUUUAAAUUUUGUUAACUUUAAUAAAAUAAUUAUAUUUAUAAUUAAUAUUAUAUAAUUAUUAAUGUAUUAAUAAUAUUUUAAUUAUUAAUAUAAUAUAAGACACAUGUGUUAAAUAUUAUUUAUUAAUAAUUAUUAUAUUAUUAUAAAUUAAUAAACCUAUGUAAUCCUGGUAUGCUGUAUGUCCCGUCUUGAAACACGGACCAAGGAGUGUAUUGCUAUGGCAAGUCAUUGAUAUUAUUAAUAUCAAAGGCAUAAUGAAAAUAA
rnacentral:rRNA from 1 species